GAUGAACGCUGGCGGCGUGCCUAAUACAUGCAAGUAGAACGCUGAAGGAAGGAGCUUGCUCUUUCCGGAUGAGUUGCGAACGGGUGAGUAACGCGUAGGUAACCUGCCUGGUAGCGGGGGAUAACUAUUGGAAACGAUAGCUAAUACCGCAUAACAGUAGAUGUUGCAUGAUAUCUACUUAAAAGGUGCAAUUGCACCACUACCAGAUGGACCUGCGUUGUAUUAGCUAGUUGGUGAGGUAACGGCUCACCAAGGCGACGAUACAUAGCCGACCUGAGAGGGUGAUCGGCCACACUGGGACUGAGACACGGCCCAGACUCCUACGGGAGGCAGCAGUAGGGAAUCUUCGGCAAUGGACGGAAGUCUGAACGAGCAACGCCGCGGGAGUGAAGAAGGGUUUCGAAUCGUAAAGCUCUGUUGUAAGAGAAGAACGAGUGUGAGAGUGGAAAGUUCACACUGUGACGGUAUCUUACCAGAAAGAGACGGCUAACUACGUG
rnacentral:rRNA from 1 species